AGAGUUUGAUCCUGGCUCAGGAUGAACGCUGGCGGCAGGCUUAAUACAUGCAAGUCGAACGGUAAGGCCGAGCGUAGCAAUACGCGAGGUACACGAGUGGCGCACGGGUGCGUAACGCGUAUGCAACCUGCCCCCUUCCGGGACAAAACGUCGAGAAAUUGGCGCUAAUAUCCCAUGGCGACCUGUUGGGGCAUCCUGGCGGGUCCAAAGAUUCAUUGGAAGGGGAUGGGCAUGCGUAUCAUUAGCUUGUUGGCGGGGUAACGGCCCACCAAGGCGACGAUGAUUAGGGGUUCUGAGAGGAAAGUCCCCCACACUGGAACUGAGACACGGUCCAGACUCCUACGGGAGGCAGCAGUAGGGAAUAUUGGGCAAUGGGAGCAAUCCUGACCCAGCCAUGCCGCGUGAAGGAAUACGGCCCUACGGGUCUUAAACUUCUUUUGCCGCGGAGUAACCGCCGGGACGUGUCCCGGCCUGAGAGUACGCGGCGAAUAAGUAUCGGCUAACUCCGUGCCAGCAGCCGCGGUAAUACGGAGGAUACGAGCGUUAUCCGGAUUCAUUGGGUUUAAAGGGUGCGCAGGCGGACGCGCAAGUCAGUGGUGAAAUCUCCCGGCUCAACCGGGACCGUGCCUCUGAUACUGCGCGACUGGAGAAUGAGUGGCGUGGCCGGAAUGUGACGUGUAGCGGUGAAAUGCAUAGAUAUGUCACAGAACGCCGAUCGUGAAGACAGGCCACGAACUCAUGACUGACGCUCAUGCACGAAAGCGUGGGUAUCAAACAGGAUUAGAUACCCUGGUAGUCCACGCCGUAAACGAUGAUCACUCGUUGUCGGGCAGCGAUGCUCGGCGGCCAAGCGAAAGCGAUAAGUGAUCCACCUGGGGAGUACGAUCGCAAGGUUGAAACUCAAAGGAAUUGACGGGGGCCCGCACAAGCGGAGGAGCAUGUGGUUUAAUUCGAUGAUACGCGAGGAACCUUACCCGGGCUUGAAGGUGGGACGGAUGCUCAGGAGACUGGGCAGUCUACGGACGUCCUGCUAGGUGCUGCAUGGUUGUCGUCAGCUCGUGCCGUGAGGUGUUAGGUUAAGUCCUGCAACGAGCGCAACCCUUACACGUAGUUGCCAGCACGUCAAGGUGGGGACUCUGCGUGAACUGCCUACGCAAGUAGAGAGGAAGGUGGGGAUGACGUCAAAUCAGCACGGCCCUUAUGUCCGGGGCGACACACGUGCUACAAUGGCAUGUACAGAGGGCGGCGACCCCGCGAGGGGGAGCGAAUCCUCAAAGCAUGUCUCAGUUCGGAUCGGAGUCUGGAACUCGACUCCGUGAAGUUGGAUUCGCUAGUAAUCGCGCAUCAGCCAUGGCGCGGUGAAUACGUUCCCGGGCCUUGUACACACCGCCCGUCAAGCCAUGGAAGCCGAUGGUACCUGAAGUCCGUGCCCGCGAGGAGCGGCCUAGGGUAAAAUUGGUGACUGGGGCUAAGUCGUAACAAGGUAGCCGUACCGGAAGGUGUGGCUGGAACACCUCCUU
rnacentral:rRNA from 1 species